rnacentral:rRNA from 1 species
CCUACGGGAGGCAGCAGUGGGGAAUAUUGGGCAAUGGGCGCAAGCCUGACCCAGCAACGCCGCGUGAAGGAAGAAGGCUCUCGGGUUGUAAACUUCUUUUAUCAGGGACGAAGCAAGUGACGGUACCUGAUGAAUAAGCCACGGCUAACUACGUGCCAGCAGCCGCGGUAAUACGUAGGUGGCAAGCGUUAUCCGGAUUUACUGGGUGUAAAGGGCGUGUAGGCGGGAAAGCAAGUCAGAUGUGAAAACCAUGGGCUCAACCUGUGGCCUGCAUUUGAAACUGUUUUUCUUGAGUACUGGAGAGGCAGACGGAAUGCCUAGUGUAGCGGUGAAAUGCGUAGAUAUUAGGAGGAACACCAGUGGCGAAGGCGGCCUGCUGGACUGCAACUGACGUUGAGGCCCGAAAGCGUGGGGAGCAAACAGGAUUAGAUACCCCGGUAGUC